UAUGCACAGAGCACAAUCCAUGCCCUAAAUAUUUCUUCACAGGCUGCUCACACCUUGUGCAGGAGUCAGUCCCAGUCAGAACACGGCACAGACAUGAGGAUCCCUGUUCAUCUCCUGGGGCUCCUGGUGCUCUGUCUCCAAAGUGCCAGAUGUGACAUCCGGAUGACUCAGACUCCAUCCUCCUUGCCUGCUUCUGUGGGAGACACAGUCACCAUCAAGUGUAAGGCCAGUCAGAGUAUAGGCUAUGCCUUAAGUUGGUACCAACAGAAACCAGGGAAAACUCCUCAACUGCUGAUCUAUGAUGCAACCAGUUUGGGAUCUGGGGUCCCAUCAAGGUUCAGAGGCACUAGAUCUGGGACAGAUUACACUCUCACCAUCAGUAGCCUGCAGCCUGAAGAUGUUGCUACUUAUUACUGUCUGCAAUCUUAUGGUACUCCUCCCACAGUGAUACAAGCCAUAUCAAAAACCAGCCAGCAAAGCAGAAGUGUGAGGCUGGGCUGCCCCAGCUGCCACCCCUGCUGUGCUCAACUGCAGAGAGCAGUUCUCAGUCAGACAGGCUUGGAAGUUCCUUGGAGGCUUUAG